rnacentral:tRNA from 1 species
GUCCCCGUAGCUCAGUCGGUAGAGCAGCAGUCUUAUGAGCUGUUGGUCGUCAGUUCGAGUCUGACCGGGGACA